rnacentral:lncRNA from 1 species
UGUCGAUGGUAAACUCUUGUUUUGACAUUUUCGUUUAAGCCAUGGUUUUGUCGAUUAAUGAUUUUGAUGUCUGUUUCCCUUUGCAUUGGUAGCCUUUUUGGAAUGAUAGGUAGUUUCUACUUAUGUUUGGAGACAGAACAAAUGCCAUACCUAUUCAGAAUGUCACUAGAAACAAACUGUUCCGGGUUAGGGGAAGGUUGGGAUCCCGCUAACAUGUUUAACCUCGCCACAUUCUGGAUGUAUGUGCUUGUUCCAAGUCAGGAGCCUGUAAUUCAUGGUUGUCGUUUGUUGCUGUGUUACAUAUUUGUUUUUCUUUUUUUUUGUACAUUAAUAAGGCCGUUUUCUCGUUUGAAUUGCUUUACAUUUGUGAUUUCAGUGCCUUUUAUAACUGACUGUGGUAUGGUCUGUGUUCAUUGUUGAAGGCCGUACGGUGACCUAUAGCUGUAAUUUUUUGUGUCUCUUGUGGAGAGUAGUCUCAUUGGCAGUCAUUACACAUUUUCUUCUUUAUAUUUGUUGGACAAGUUAGGCAUUUGAUCAUCGGCAAACCCUCCAGGUAAUGUUGCAAUGGUUCCGUGCC